rnacentral:rRNA from 1 species
AUGCCCUCGGGAGCACGUGAUGUGUCUGCGUAUUCACUUAGUGCAAGGAUAUUGAAGGCUGCAUAUUUCCCCAACACAAAUUUUCUGGAGGCAGAAUUAGGCCAUCACCCAUCACAGAUUUGGAGGGCUGUUCUUGAUGGAAGAGACAUUCUGAAGCAAGGCAUCAUUAAGCGUAUUGGCAAUGGGCAAACAACGAACAUUUGGAGAGAUAAUUGGUUACAGAGGACUGGACCUUUCAGACCGAUCACAGCUCUCACUUCUAACCCGCCUGUGAUGGUAGCCGAGCUCAUUGAUUCGACCACAGCGUCGUGGAAAGAGGAACUAAUCCGUAACACCUUCGUGCGGUUCGACGCGGAAGCCAUCUUGUCCAUACCAAUUUGCACUAGGGCAGUAGAGGAUUUUUGGGCUUGGUCAGCCGAGAGGAGCGGCAGAUUUUCUGUUAGCUCAGCUUACCGGAUGGUUAUGUCCAGGAAGGAGGAACGAGGGGACUGGCUGGAACGGACCCCGGGAGGCUCGUCACUGAAUGCUAACCGGAGGGACUGGAUGACAUUGUGGAAUAUAAAGGUGCCAUCCAAACUAAGGGUCUUCCUGUGGCGGCUGGCGAGGCAUACAAUGCCGACGAUGGACAUUUUGCAUCACCGGCACAUGUCAGAUACUAAUCGGUGUUCGCUAUGCGGGAGCGAAGACUCAUGGAGACAUGCACUAUUGGACUGCACGAUGUCAAGAUGUGUGUGGGCGCUCUCUGAGGAUGAAGUGGUGCAACAGCUGAGUAUGAACAUGAAUCCAAACGCGAAACACUGGCUGCUGGAGAUGCAUGAUCAUUUAUCGCACGAGCAGUUCGUUCUGUUGGUGGUCACCCUUUGGGCCACAUGGAGAGCACGACGCAAAGCGAUAUAUGAAGGAGUUUUCCAGAGUCCUGAAGAAACUAACCAGUUCAUCAAAUCUUAUAUAGCGGACCUGCAAGCUAUCGCUGCUGUGGGCGAUGGACAGGAACAACACUAAGCGGCGAGACCUAGUCACUGGAUUGCACCACCGGACACGUAUGCGAAGAUCAACGUGGACGCGGCGACCGCAGCCAACCGAGGAGUUGCUGCUGCUAUCUGUCGAGAUCAAGCGGGCAUGUUUCAAGGGGCUUCAGCUCUAGUCAUCAAGGGAACCAGUGACCCAUCAACGCUCGAAGCGUUAGCAGUCAGAGAGGCUUUGGCGCUUGCCAAUGAUCUUAAUAUUCGCAUGAUACAUGUCGCUUCUGACUGCAAAGUCGUAGUGGAAGACAUCAAGAACAAAACACCUGCUAUCUAUGGAGCUAUUCUGCAUGAAAUCAUAGACCAUAGUUCCACGUUUACAUCAUGUACCUUUGUGCAUGAGUUUAGGAGCUCGAAUUUCGAGGCUCACAAUCUAGCGAAGCAUAGUUUAAAUUUGGGGGUUGGCCGCCAUGUCUGGUUAGGCAAUCCUGGUAAUCUUUCUUUUGUACCUUUGAACAUUGGCACAAGUUAA